AGGUUCCAAGGGUACCUGCACAGCCAAUUUUUGAGAGGGCCAUGAAGUGAAGAUCUUUAUCUACAUAUACCAGUCUUUUUCAGGCACAUCCAUUGCACACCUCCAACCUAUCAUCACCCACAUAUAUUCCAGCGCCCUUGAGUAACUGCUGAAUGGAAAUUAUCUCUCACACAUCCCUGCUGUUAGCUGCGCAGGAGCUAUCCAUCACUGUCAAUGUCACAGAGACCUUCUGGAGCUGCCAUACCUCUUUUUUUGUACGUGCCCCUAGCGGGAACCGAACCCAGGACUCUCUGGUUCACAAGCCAAC